rnacentral:rRNA from 1 species
UGCNGUCNNAGCGGUANCACAGGGNGCUUGCUCCUGGGUGACGAGCGGCGGACGGGUGAGUAAUGUCUGGGAAACUGCCUGAUGGAGGGGGAUAACUACUGGAAACGGUAGCUAAUACCGCAUAAUGUCGCAAGACCAAAGAGGGGGACCUUCGGGCCUCUUGCCAUCAGAUGUGCCCAGAUGGGAUUAGCUAGUAGGUGGGGUAACGGCUCACCUAGGCGACGAUCCCUAGCUGGUCUGAGAGGAUGACCAGCCACACUGGAACUGAGACACGGUCCAGACUCCUACGGGAGGCAGCAGUGGGGAAUAUUGCACAAUGGGCGCAAGCCUGAUGCAGCCAUGCCGCGUGUAUGAAGAAGGCCUGCGGGUUGUAAAGUACUUUCAGCGAGGAGGAAGGCAUUAAGGUUAAUAACCUUGGUGAUUGACGUUACUCGCAGAAGAAGCACCGGCUAACUCCGUGCCAGCAGCCGCGGUAAUACGGAGGGUGCAAGCGUUAAUCGGAAUUACUGGGCGUAAAGCGCACGCAGGCGGUCUGUCAAGUCGGAUGUGAAAUCCCCGGGCUCAACCUGGGAACUGCAUUCNAAACUGGCANGCUAGAGUCUUGUAGAGGGGGGUAGAAUUCCANGUGUAGCGGUGAAAUGCGUANAGAUCUGGANGAAUACCGGUGGCNAANNCGGCCCCCUGGACAAAGACUGACGCUCANGUGCGAAAGCGUGGGGANCAACAGGAUUANAUACCCUGGUAGUCCACGCCGUAAACGAUGUCGAUUUGNAGAUUG